rnacentral:rRNA from 1 species
CUACGGGGUGCUGCAGUGAGGAAUAUUGCACAAUGGGGGGAACCCUGAUGCAGCAACGCCGCGUGGAGGAUGACGCAUUUCGGUGUGUAAACUCCUUUUAUAUGUCAAGAAAAUGACGGUAGCAUAUGAAUAAGCACCGGCUAACUCCGUGCCAGCAGCCGCGGUAAUACGGAGGGUGCAAGCGUUACUCGGAAUCACUGGGCGUAAAGGACGCGUAGGCGGGUUGGAAAGUCAGGUGUGAAACCCUACAGCUUAACUGUAGAACUGCACCUGAAACUUCUAAUCUAGAGUAUGGGAGGGGGAGAUGGAAUUAGUGGUGUAGGGGUAAAAUCCGUAGAUAUCACUAGGAAUACCUAAAGCGAAGGCGAUCUCCUGGAACAUUACUGACGCUAAGGCGUGAAAGCGUGGGGAGCAAACAGGAUUAGAUACCCGAGUAGUC